rnacentral:rRNA from 1 species
UCGGGUGACGAGCGGCGGACGGGUGAGUAAUGUCUGGGAAACUGCCUGAUGGAGGGGGAUAACUACUGGAAACGGUAGCUAAUACCGCAUAACGUCGCAAGACCAAAGUGGGGGACCUUCGGGCCUCAUGCCAUCAGAUGUGCCCAGAUGGGAUUAGCUAGUAGGUGGGGUAACGGCUCACCUAGGCGACGAUCCCUAGCUGGUCUGAGAGGAUGACCAGCCACACUGGAACUGAGACACGGUCCAGACUCCUACGGGAGGCAGCAGUGGGGAAUAUUGCACAAUGGGCGCAAGCCUGAUGCAGCCAUGCCGCGUGUGUGAAGAAGGCCUUCGGGUUGUAAAGCACUUUCAGCGGGGAGGAAGGCGGUGAGGUUAAUAACCUUGUCGAUUGACGUUACCCGCAGAAGAAGCACCGGCUAACUCCGUGCCAGCAGCCGCGGUAAUACGGAGGGUGCAAGCGUUAAUCGGAAUUACUGGGCGUAAAGCGCACGCAGGCGGUCUGUCAAGUCGGAUGUGAAAUCCCCGGGCUCAACCUGGGAACUGCAUUCGAAACUGGCAGGCUAGAGUCUUGUAGAGGGGGGGUAGAAUUCCAGGUGUAGCGGUGAAAUGCGUAUAGAUCUGGAGGAAUACCGGUGGCGAAGGCGGCCCCCUGGUACAAAGACUGACGCUCAGGUGCGAAAGCGUGGGGAGCAAACAGGAUUAGAUACCCUGAUAGUCCACGCCCGUAAACGAUGUCGAUUUG